ensembl:lncRNA
AGCCCGGCGGUGCGCGGCCCUCCCGCUGCGGCGCGCCCUCCCCGCUGAGCCUCGACGGUGGCCGGGGUGCGUGGCUGGCGGGGAGCGGACCGUGCGUGUGCGCAGGGAGAAAUGAACCAAAACAAGAGGUGGUAAUCUCUGCACUGAUACUGAAUCCAACACUCUGGCUGCCACCUGGAGCUUGCUGUUCAAAUAAAUGAACAUCAUGUAGGGCAGUUUAUCUGCCUUGUUGCUUCGAAGGCUGGAGCUUCCUUUCCUGCCCCUCAAAUGUGUCUCUAUGGUCACAUGAUGUGCUUUGUUAUUAAAAGCAACAGUGGCUAUAUGUAUUUCCUGCGUAGCUAUAUGUAAUAGCUAAUGCUCUUUAAUUGGAUAUGGACUUUACGGAGGAAUAUCUACUGUGGUAUUCUGCCUUGAAGGACCUCAGACACGAAACAGCACUUCUGUAUGACAGAGGGAAAGCACUCAGGCAAGCACCAUUAAUCUACCAAAAAGUACUGUGAAUGGUGAAGCGAACUUCAGAAAUUAUACAGUUGGUUCUACAACUCUGUCUCUGGAAAGUUAGCCAAAAUAGAACAAAGUGACAGUUUGCACCUUCAGGUGUACAGGGUCUCCUGCGUAGCAACUCGUUACCCUUGAAGAGUUGUUGCAGAACGCAUGAGGAGUUGAGAGAAGUCUCUGAGAGGCUGGAAGACAGCAUGGACAUGCAAGUUGGGAUGAAAACCACAUCCUGAACUCCCAAAAAAAGAAAGUUGAGAAAGCUACAAGGAAGCUCCUUUCAUCUGUAGAUCCUUUGAGGAGAUUUGUACUGUGUGUACUCACACAGUGCAUGUUGAACAGACAACUAAGAUGCCAGCUCUAAAAAUGUUCCUUCCUAUUCUGUAUCAUUAAGCUAUUGCUAAAUAAUCUAGUAAUUCUCCUGAAAUAUGGCAUGCAGUACAGGAAAGCAAGCUCUCAAAGUCCCUUGUUAUCAUUUCACCAAAGCUCAGAAAAGAGCCCCCAAGGAAGCAGGAUGCCUGAGCUCUGACCCUGCUGGAGCAGAGUGGAGAGACUGAGCAGUGGUUGAGUCACCCCAUUUGAAAACAAAUCUAUAUCUAAUUAGUGAAUCCUUGCAAUAGCCCUGGGAGGUAUAUAAAUAUUGCUGCUCUGUUUUACAGGAAACUGAGAUGGAAGGGGAUGAAUUCUUCUGUGUUAUAAAAAAUGCCAUUAACCAGUUAAAUGAAGGCAAAUUAGCUACUGAUGUGCUUUGAUUGUGCCUUAUAAAGCACAACUUACACCCCACCUGAUUACAAUUUCAGCUUACAUGCUCAUAUUACAGAGUAUUUUUUGUAUUUACUUUUUUUAACCAGUAUUUACCUUUUUUUUGAUCCAGUUCUUUACAUUUUGUUAACUUUCACAGCCUACUAACAGUGGGAGUGUUCUCCGAUCAAAGGAAAAUCACUGACUUGCUGGUAACUAGGUAUCCAUUCACUCCUAAUUCCAGGGAAGUAUGUAAUGCAAGAUGAAAUAAAUAGCAUCUCAACAUAGCACAGCAGAACAAGCAAGGUGCAAAUCUAGGUACACUGGUAAUGUUUAUGAGUGGAGGAUGGAGGGAGUUUUCCUUGUCUCCUUGUGGAGCUGAAAAUAAAAACAAUAUCAAUACAAUAAGUAACGUGGAGGAAAAUUUUUGUGCUCUGAAUAAUAUUGGACUCAUCGGUCUCUUCUUGGUUGAUUGUGAAUUUGGCUGAUCAACUUACUGAGUGAUCAUUUGAGCAUUUUAAAAUAUAUUUCUUUUAGCAAGCAAAAUAAUAUUAUCUGUUGGUGAUUCUGUAAUCAGAUUUGAUAAGAACCACAACACUUUGCUGUUAAGAUGACAGUGCUGCAUAUAUAAUCAUACGAGAAUACCAUGUGUUUCUUGCCACUGCUCAGUCCAGAACACCAUAUUUUCUUGCACUCUCUGCCUUCAUUAUUUAGUAAAAAGAAUUUUUUUCCUUUGAGUGGAUUUCACUUGAAUAUAACCAGAAGACUCACAACUGAUUUUGAACAUCUUGAAGGAACGUAUUAGGCAAAUAAAGUGCACUUUGGGGUUUCCAUAUUGCUGAGUUGAAAGGAAGACAUUUUCAAAUUGGUACAUGCUUGGGAAUGCUAAUGAGCAGUCUUGGAUAUAUGUCUAAAGAGAGAAGUUAGAAUGCUAGUGGGUAGUCAUCUUCUGCAGGCUGUCUGCCUAACACUAGAUAAAAAAAAUAUUUUGAUUGAAAAAGCUUCUUCCUCUGUACAGGGUUUUUCUCUUCCUUUUCCUUUUUAUUUUUAUUUUUUUAAUUUUCCUUUAGUUAAAAAACAAACAAACAAACAAAAAUUUUAAUCUUCCUUGCCCCUUUUUUUUUUCCUUUGAACUAGUAAUUGGGAAAUAACCCCACAUAUUUUUAAAUAUUCGUAUAUAUAUCUGAUACCAUUGACGUUUCCUCCCAUGCAUAUGGUCCAGUCUGUCUUAUUACUUUUUCUAUCUUUAAGAUAAAGACCUUUAAGACCUGAUGACAGCUCAUCACCACUAGUAAAUCCCUGAGCUUUACUAGUGUUAUGCUGGAGGUUCUUCCAGGCCUGAAGUACUCUAUAUAUUUGCCUCCCUCAAAAUGAUGCUAUCAACCUGUAAGACAAAGAACAUCCUAAGAUGCCAAUUGGAAAAGCCUAAAUGUUUACUGGCAAUAUGUCUCUUUUAGAACCUUUAUAGGUGAAUUAUAUGCAGAUAUAUAGAUAGAGGUUUUAUUGAUGCAUCUAUAUAAUCAAUGUUAUGAAAAGAUAGGGUCCAAAUAUCAGACUGUAAGAGAAAAAAAAAAUGAAGAUGUCAGCAUGGAAAAAAUGAUAGGAAGAUUUAAAAAUAUUUAUAAAACAGGAAAGAGAGGAUUAAUUAAGAGCAUGGAGAUUUUCCAUUAUCUUUAUUAAAGGAGUUUAUAUUGAUCCAACAUUGGGAAAAAUAUAAAUGGACAAAAAAAAAAACCAAAAAAAAACUGCUGAGUGAACAAUGAAAUUAUAGUUUCUUAGUUCUGGACCAUCAAAAAGAAAAACCGGUAUCAUCCAAGGUUAAAAGUGACGUAAAACUCCUAAGUGGCCAUAACUGUCCAAACAGGAAGGAAUGAUGGAGUAGUUCAAUUACACCGAACAUAAAUUAAAUACAUUUGUCAACGAAUUCUAAUGGCAAGAUACAGUGACUUUUAUGCAAGUGAAGUCUCCAGAAGUAACUUUUCAUAUAGAUUGACUAGAAGUUUGAGCAGUAUUCAUUAUGUGGAGGAAUCUUUCAGAAGGCAGUAUCACCUUGUAGUUUUCCUACAAUAGGCAUCGUAAUGAGAACCAUCCAUUCUUUUAAAUAGAGCACCCAUACUUUGCUUUCAACAAAAUGGUUAUCUCAUUAUUUUACACGAAUUGUUUCCAAACUUUAUUUCUUUGUAUAAAAAAAUAUAUAUCUGUUAUAUAUUAUGUAGUUGAAUAUGAUUUUACCAUUAGAGAUCUAUACAUCUGGUAUUGCCUUCCUGAAAUCUGUUUUAGUCAUAAUAUAAAUGGUCAUGUUAAACAGUCUUUUGAAAAUGAUCAUGGUAAUGCAUCUAACUUUAUUGAAGUUGUCUUAUGAAGUUAAAAUUAUUUGCUAGUCUCUUUUCAGCCCAGAAAACAAGUUUCUUCUGUAAUCAUUCCAUUACUUUUUAAAAGAGAUCUGACAAGCAUAAACAUUCUCCUUAUCAAACUCCUGAUUGAGAACUGAACUUCUGCACUGCCAGAUAGCCGCUUAUCUUCAACCAACAUAGCAUUCUAAAAAUGUAGCUGGUUGCAGUUAUUAAAAAUUACAUCUGCUGAAGUCUCAGCCCACAGAAUACACCAUAUUUUAUUACAAGACUAUGUCUUCUAGAAAGAUACUUCCUAGUUUAGGAACUGCUGUAUCACUGUUCAACUGUGAGAGUGUACAGGGUAUUGCAUACACCCACAUACAUAUCCAGGACCUCUUACCUAACUACAUUGUUUUUGUAACAUGAUUCUUCUGGUGACUGAAGAAAAGAGACAAUGAGAAUAAAGAAUGCAAAGGUAGAAAGUGUUGCUCUUGAAUUACAAACUAUCAUAGGAUUUCACAGGAAUAAUCUUUUAAAAUCGAGUUAUUGUAGCCUUAGUGCUCCAGUAGUGUUAAUGUGGUUUUAAAGUGUCAAAUACUCAAUUUAAAGGCAUCAAAUAUAAUGUAUUUGCAUCACUAAUUCAUGAUAACUACAGCUAAAACGGGAGACUUUAAGUUCUAAGUCAUAAGCAUCAGGAAUUACAUUUAGGAACAGUAGAAAGUUCAGAUUUCACCCCCUUCAAAGGUCAAAAAGAAAUAAAUAAAAUAAGACACAGCCCUGAACUUUUAUUAAAGCCAGAUCUUGCCUUUUUAUGGUAUUUUUACCUGAGAUCUGUACAAACAUUAAUAACACUAAGUUCUGUAAGCCUUUCAGUCUCCAUUUAACAGAUAGAAGAAGAGGAAUAGAAAAAGUUACUGUCUAAACUCCCAGUGGUACUACUUAGAUGCUACUAAGACAGCACUGCUUUGUUUGAAGUAUUACAGAAUAGCCCAAAUUCCCAAUAAAUUUAACAGAAAAGAUUAAUAAGCCAUUACUAAUGGAGGCAGAUCUGAAGUUACUGAAGAUGCACCCUUAGAAAUUAACCGUCAUGUGCAGUCCCUCACUGGCAAUAGGAGUGGGACUAGAAAGUUCUAUUUGAAUUUUUGUCUUAGAAUUCACACUGAGGAAUGAUUCAGCAUGUAACAAACAUUGGAACAGAUAGCGUACUCUCUGUAUAUACAAAGUAAAGAUUGAUUUGCAGUUUGGAUUUAGUUUGCUUAGUGCAAAAAUCAACUUAACCCAGAUUAUUCUGAAUAGUCAGCCUCUUUAAAGCCAAGCCAAAUUAGACUAACCUAGACAGCAGGUUAAGUCCAACAGCUUGUAUUGGCACUUUGUAAAAUGUCAGCGCAUUAAUUCCGCUCCUUAACUUAUAUACAGAGCUCUCUUAAAAACAUAUUUUUAUCUAGAUCAAUAAUGUACCUGAUAGAAAAAAACAACGACAAAAAACAAAACAAAACAAAACAAAAAAACCCACAUAUGUCUGUACCUUGCAACAGAAUACGCUGUAGGUACACUUCAGUUGUGUCAGAGCACAUAUAUACAUGUGAGUACAAAUGUAAGAAACACCAACUGCAUCAGAUGGAUGGCCUAUCUAGCCUAGUAUUCUGUCUGGCACAGGUAAAAUUACUUAGGAAGAAUAUGCAAACCCUACCAUUUCCACUGGUGGUCUCCCAGAACUCAAAAUAAUUCAGCGGGUGAUGCUAGAAGGUAUAUGUGUGAGUAUCCUGCUUUAGUUUCUGUUUAUGGAUAUUUGGCCAUGAAUUUACCAAAUUCUUUCAUGAACUUUAUGAGGGAACUGGGAUUGUUUGGACUGGAGAAGAGGAGGCUCAAGGAAGACCUUAUUGCUCUUUACAACUGCUUGAAAGGAGGUUGUGAUGAGGUGGGGUUGGCCUCUUCUCCCACAUAAGUAGCAAUACAACUAAAGAGAACAACCUCAAGUUGCACCGGGGAAGAUUCAGAUUGGAUAUUAAGAAAAAUGUCAUCUAAAGAGUGGUCAGGUGCUGGAAUGGGCUGCCCAGGGAGGUAGUGGAGUCAUCAUCCCUGGAGGUGUUCAAGAAAUGUUUAGACGUUGAACAAAGAGUCAUGGUUUAGUGGGGAAAUGGUGAUGGUAGGUGAACAGUUGAGUUAAAUAAUCUCAGAGGCCUUCUUCAACCUUGGACAUAAAUUACCCGAAAAGGUAAUUUCUUUUAUUUACCAGAUCCCAGUGUAAUGCAGAUAAUUUAUCAGAUCCCAGUUUAAUGCAGAUAAUUCCCUCAGUAUUUCCAUAGCCUCCCUCAACAUUCUCAUGAGUUUCAAAUAAGAGAUCAGGAGCACCUUAAGAAUGGUAGAUAGGCCAAAGUGCUAGUGGUGUAUAUUUUAUUGAAGCAUUGGCUUUAAUGUCAGUUUACCAGUUCAUUUUUCCCAAAGCUGUUUUUCACUAGAGUAUAAUAAUUUUGAUCUCUUCAUACUGUCACGGCUUCUUGGUGAAUCUUGAAAAUAUCACAAGGCUAAAUGAGAUCUUAGUUUACCUUUAAAUAGAUUCAAGCAUCUCUAAGACAAAUGUUGUUUAAAUGUGGAGCAGAAAAGGUCUCUGGAAAAAAUAUUUGGAUCUCUGCUGAAGCCACAGCAAGGUUUUCCAUUUCUCCAUUAAUUCAGUAUUCAAGUGCCAGAUUGAAAAUGACUCUUGCUUUCCCUCACAAGGACUACUUUAAAAUGAAAAUGACACUAAAGUACAAGGCAGUAAUUUAUCUCAGGGUGUCUGCUACAUUUUAAUCCUAUUUAUGUCUCUCUUUUCUCCUAUUUACACCAUUCUUCAGUGGCUUUCAUAUGUUUCCCUAAGGUUGUUCACAUCAUGAAAUUUCUGUGGUCUACAUGCAGGGCAAAAGUAUUCAAAGGUAGAUGAAUGUGGAAACCAGAAGUGUUGUCUAUCUUACCUGACAUGCCUCAUGACUAUAGCAUUUAUAGAAGUUCAGCUAUAUCAACCAUACUUGGGAGUAAUAUCAUAGAAUUAGUACAGUGUAGCUCUUUCACAAUCUUGAGAAGUAGUGGACUGUUCCUCAGCUCACAGCAGCACCUGUUGUAAAUAAAAUAGGAUCCUACUGAAGUACUGAAAUUUUAACAAUGUCUUAAUCUGUAGAGAAGAAUGCCCCUUUCCAGCACAAAGAGUAUAGAAACCCAAAUGUAAGUGGAGGAGAGAGCCUGUGGAAUAUGAUGUUGCAAGUUUUCCUCUUGAAACCCUCAGGAACUGUCUACCAUUCAGGCAAGCGUGUAAAUCCUUUCAUCUACAUAGCUUCAGUAGCCUCACUACCAUCUUAGUCUUCAAAACAGAAGUGAACAAAACAGGUCUUCAAAACAGAUCCACCUAUACACGUAUGAACAACACAAAUGAGCCAAAUCCUGUUGGAAGUUGUAGAUUUUCAGGACUUGACAUGAUGGUGCAAAACUUGUUAAUUCCUUACAUUUUUUUUCUCAUGAAUGACAUGAAAAUUUCUCUUACAUACUGCAGUUCUAAAAGAGUGCAAUACUUCUGAGAAGAGAAAGAACAGUUCUUCAGAUUUCUAGCUACUAGAAAAAUUGGAGAGGAAAGAUGCCAUUUUCUAUGAGAAAAGAAGGAUCAAAUCAUCAUUUCCACCAUUCCACAGGGGAAAUGGAAAAGUACAACAUCAGUGAAGCAUUCAUUCUGUACUGAACCACAAUUUGUUUUGCCAAACACUGUGCAGAACUUGAAACUCAAAAGCUGGAAAAACCAGUGCCCAGCACAUGCCUCCCUCCAAAUCUUAUAAGGAUAUUAUGAUAAAUUCAAUGUGGAAGUGCCAUUCUCAGUACUUUUUUGAGUAGGAAAAUUCCCAGAGGGAAAAGAAUAUAUAUAUAAGAAUAUAUGUAUACAGUGAGAGUCAGAUUAGAAAUCUUGUUGUCAGAAGGCAGGACAGAGAUUUCAGAUUGAUCUAGUGAAGGCUAGAGAGUUUCUCUGAGUUAAAGCUAAGGGAGAAAAAAAAAAAAAACAAGAAGAGAAAAAGCACACUAAAUUUACAUGGAGCUGUAGGAUGUAAAUCCAACCUACUUCAAUAGUUUUUGUAGACAGUCAUUUGGAAGAGGGAUGCUAUAGCCAAGAAUGCUUUAGUUUUGUGGGGGAAAAAAAAAAAAAAAAAAAAAGAGCAGCGUUGUUGUUGUUUCAGUUUGCAGUUGUUCUUAUUGUUUGUUUCGUUACCUUAACUCAGCACCAUGAUUGCUUCUAAAGAAAGAAAAUACGUUGGAAAAUCAUAUAAAAGCCACGUUGAUCUGGUCUGUUGUGCUUUCUUUAAAGGGACAGCUCCAUACUUGUUUGCUUUUUCUCCUGCUUCAUAAAUAUAUGAUGAUUUAAAAUGUGCAAUAUGAGGACAUUAAUAAGAAUUAUGUGUAGGAUAGAAGGGGGCAACAGGAGGCAGACCUCGCUGUGUAGAAACUGCUGAGUCUUAGGAAUACUUAGGGCCAUAUUUCUUUUCUGCUGUCACAGGUAACUGCUUGGAACUGUUCUCUCCUGAGGGUGCACAUAAGGCUGGCUUCAUUCUUUACUUACAAUCUAUAGCUAGAUAAGCUGGUAAAGGAAGUGAACCAAUUUUCAGUUAAUGACACUAAAACAAGACUGAGCCAAAAACAUAAAAGUUGUGCUUAGUCUUGAAUUUUUAUAAAAUUGAUUCAGAUAGUCUGACCUAAGCAUUGCUAUUAACAUAGCUGAAUUCAAGGAGCAUAUAUUCAAAGCAAACUUUGAUAUUGAAACUAAAUUAAAAUUGAUUUUGUAAUGGGAAAGCCUUGCAUUCCCUCCUUAGUUAAAAAUCUCACUUCAUACUAAGUAGUCUGGGUUUGACAAGUCAAGGAAAUAAAAUCAGUUAUUUGGGAUGGCAGGCAAGAUCAUCAUGAAGGAGAACUGUGUGGACACAAGAUUAUUGAUAACAAUAAAAAAAUGUAUCACACACAACAUACCAUUCUUUCCUUUGCAGUUGUGCCAUUGCUAGGCAACUGAAAAUGGAUGAGUAGAUUUUAGCUGUAUAUCUAUACCCUUCAUUUGGAGAAUCAUGAAAGGGACUUCUGAAAAACAAACAUCAUGUUUCUGAUCAGGAUCCAAUAUGGCUUUACUGCUACUGAGGACUAGAAAAUGUAUUAUUUCCAAUACUAUAAAUUUUGUUGAUAAACAUCACAGUAUACUUGUAAGACUUUUAAAACAAUGCAGCUUUCUGUUUAGUAACAGAAUAUUUUCUUAAGCAGAUUUUUAUGCUCUCAUUUUUUAUUCACCAUAUUGUAGUAUACAAGUUGUGUAUCCUAUACUUCAUGAAAUCACCAUUGGUGAGUAGAGAGCAUAGUUACUCAGCACUUAAGUUAAAAGUACUCAUAAAAUUUACUUCAGUUGGGACUGUUUGUAUUUCUAACAGGUGGUAACUCUUUUUGCUUAAGUAGGUAACUUAAUGACUUCUCUGUCAUUUAAGAUCUACUGCCAUUCAACACUCAUUACCUUUAAUACAUGCUUUAGCAAACAUUUAACUUCUUAGUUUUAACACUGUUGCAACAGUAAGGGAAGAAUGACUGCUACCAUAACGUUGGCAGUGGUUGAUAAUUUACACUUCCUCUAUAGCCUACUACCCCUUAAUAAAUAAAUAAAUAAAAAUAAAAGAAAGAAAUAAAGAGAGAAAUAAAAAAAAAAAAAAGGAAAGAGAAAGGAAAAAAAAAUCCACUCCCUUGAUAAUUAGUACCCUUUGUCAAAGCUUCAGUUACAAUUUGACGAGAAAAUAUUCCUAAAUGUCAAGAACCAUGCAGUCUGAUAAAUAUGGAUGACAUUUAAAAAGCAGAGGAGGUAGUUCUACAGAAGCAGAAGAAGCAAAAAGAAAUGCAAUAUGUAUUUACGGAAAGAAACAGUUUUUCCACCAUGUAUUCUCCUCAUAUAUUGACUGUUUUGUACUCCUGGUUCUUCUUUUCAAGAGCACUGUGAAGCUUUUGUCUCAUAUCAAAUGCCUUAGCUGCAUUUCUUCAUUAUAAAACAGCACAUUUCAACAGCCCAGGUCUUUCCACUUGUAAUCACUCAGUAUAAUUGAUUGAGAAGAUAGAGUCAGAGAAUCCUCCAAAUAUUUUAAUUCUUCAGAGUUGUUUAAAUUUAGCAAAAAAUGACACCCUGAGAAAAUGAAAUGGCACGUACUCAGAAAUUGCUAACUGUGAUAUAGAUCAAUCACAGCCCUUGGUGAUUACUCUUUAAACAAGUCUGUCUCACAAGCAGAUUCAAAGGAAUUGACCUUCUGAAUGUUAACAAACAGAAGGCAAGAUUCUCCACUUCUGACAACUUUAAAAUCUCUCUUGUUGGAAAAUCUGAAAGACAAAGCGUUUUUAGCAGGUGGAAUUAGAGAACUACGUUCUCCAUAUUUACCACUCUAGGGGUACAGGUAUUUUCAUUACUAAAGCCUUUGUUGGAACAAGACUCAUUAAGAAAGCUAUAAAAGAAUGGAAUAUUAUCGUGUAAUGAACACCUAAUUGAAAACUAAUGUGCAAUGAGAAAGAAAUAAACUUUGUGACGAUAGGAUUAGAAAUGUGUCUGACUACAAUGGCAGUAUUUGUAAGAUAGGAUGACAUGAAUUCAUCAUCUUCACUUCCAGAUCUAACAACCUCUCUGAUCUGAGAGCAUCAAGAAUGUAAAUGCAGUUAAACAACAAUUCCCCAUCUUAAACAACCAGCACUGAGAUUGUGCAGGUACUCCACCACUGUACUACUAUAGUUGCUUGGGUUUACUUGGGCAAUGGUAGUAGAAAAAAACAUAUCCUAUCCACUGUGUUAACUGUGAAGUAGAUGAACCAUACUUCCGGCUGGGUGUCUGAACUCUGUGAGGUUCCCUACUCUCUGAGCUACUCAACUAAGGCUACUUUUCUCAAACUUCUCAAACUGAACAAAAACCAUCCUGUAACACUGCGAAAAUGUGGUGGGAAAUUUUUCCCUGAAUCAAUUUCAUGAAGUUCCUAACUAUGUUUGACGUGUUUGUGAGGAUAAGAUUUAAAAAAAUACAUUUAUUUCAUAGUUAAUUUGAAUAUCAAACAAUGUAAAAUAAAUCUUGCUCAAAUUACUGUGUUAAUGAGUCUUGACCUUUAUUUUAAACUGACACAGCUUUCAGAUGAAGGCAGUAGUGUAAAGAACAGUUAUCACAAAUAUCAAAAUACGCUUACAUUUUCAUAUAUGAUCCACCUACCAAGAGUUUACUUAAUAAUCUUAAAGCUGAUGCAUAGCUCAUUAAAAUUGCUGCCCUUCAACCAUCUCUAAGACCUCCAUUGGUCUGAUGCACUAUCUCAAGUAUAUCUCCAACACCAUAUAGUUGGAAUCUCCAGUAUUUUGCACAGGAAAAUUACUGUGGUAUCGAUUCCAGAGUAACAAGAGACCCUCACAAAAAAUAUGUGGGAGAUUUACUGAGUGAACCAUUUCUGUACUCACAGACAGUUCAAUACAAUUUUUAAGGCAAUUUUUUUUUUCAUGCUCUUGCAAGUAUGAAGUUGGCCUGAAAACUUUUCCAUUGAUGCAUAUUGAAGGAAAGUAAGAGCCAUAGACUGUAGCAUUGCAGUGCUUCUCUGGUUUACAAGAGUGUUACAGUCUGGCCUCUGACAGAAAGGUAAUGCUUUAUUGGCAAAUAUUACUUAAAGGAGGAAUUUGUGUAUGAACACUGUAGUGGAAUACCAGGGUCACAGCCUGAACCAAUGGAUGGGCUACAUGAGUGUGUGGGUAUCUGGAGCGGGGUCUGGAGCCACCCCUUCUGUCUCUGCAAUACUUCCUGUGCAGUUUGAGUCUGCGCGGGUCCCCCUUUUGCUCCUGCCCCUCUCUCCAGCGGUGCGAUGGUACAAACGGAGGAGGCUCACUUUCCUCAGCUCAUCCCUCUCUCCACACUGUUACCGGGAGGGGUGAGUCAAUUCCUUUUUGAUAUCUUUUCCUCUAGUGCCUAUUUCUUAAAUAAAGGCUCUGUCAUUGCCUUCACUUGUUCUACAGCCACUGAAAAAAAAUGCACAGAACCCUGCAAAAUAAAGUGUAUUCAUACGUAUGCAUAUUUCUCUAACUGAUAAAUAAGGGAGAACAUGUAGAAAGAGAAAAAAAAAAAACGUGUAGUACUGAGUUUUUUUAAAGACACAGAUCUUCAAGCCCUCUCAAAAGUGCUGCAUCCAACCUUAU